rnacentral:rRNA from 1 species
GACGAACGCUGGCGGCGUGCUUAACACAUGCAAGUCGAGCGGUAAGGCCCUUUCGGGGUACACGAGCGGCGAACGGGUGAGUAACACGUGGGUGACCUGCCCUCAGCUCUGGGAUAAGCCUGGGAAACCGGGUCUAAUACUGGAUAUGACUCCAUGACGCAUGUUGUGGGGUGGAAAGCCUUGUGCGGCUGAGGAUGGGCCCGNGGCCUAUCAGCUUGUUGGUGGGGUGANGGCCUACCCAAGGCGACGACGGGUAGCCGGCCUGAGAGGGCGACCGGCCACACUGGGACUGAGACACGGCCCAGACUCCUACGGGAGGCAGCAGUGGGGAAUCUUGCGCAAUGGGCGAAAGCCUGACGCAGCGACGCCGCGUGAGGGAUGACGGCC